GUCCCUAUCGAUUAGUGGUUAAAUCAUCACGUUGUGGCGGUCGUCAAUCCGUGAAGCCGCCGGCUCGACUCCGGCUAGGGACA